AAAGUAAUUAAAUAACGUUGUCGUAUAAUGUCGGGGAUAUGGCCCGAAAGUUUCUACCGAGUUACCGUAAAUGACUCGACUACGAUUUUGUCCUUUCUGAAC
rfam:Planomicrobium sp. ES2 genome assembly, contig: CONTIG000001